rnacentral:rRNA from 1 species
UACGGGGGGAGCAAGCGUUGUUCGGAUUUACUGGGCGUAAAGGGCGCGUAGGCGGUCAGCACAAGUCAAUUGUGAAAUCUCCGAGCUUAACUCGGAAAGGUCAACUGAAACUGUGCGACUAGAGUGCGGAAGGGGCAACUGGAAUUCUUGGUGUAGCGGUGAAAUGCGUAGAUAUCAAGAGGAACACCUGCGGCGAAGGCGGGUUGCUGGGCUGACACUGACGCUGAAGCGCGAAAGCUAGGGGAGCGAACGGG